rnacentral:rRNA from 1 species
AAGUAAAGUUAAUAAGGGCGUACGGCGGAUGCCUUGGCGAUAUCAGCCGAAGAAGGACGCGGUAAGCUGCGAUAAGCUACGGAGAGGUGCAAGCAACCUUUGACCCGUAGAUUUCCGAAUGGGGGAACCCGGCAGUGGUUAUGCACUGUCACCCAUACCUUUGAGUAUGAGGAGGGCACCUGGGGAACUGAAACAUCUAAUUACCCAGAGGAAGAGUAAUCAAACGAGAUUUUCUUAGUAGCGGCGAGCGAACGGGAAAGAGGCCAAACCGGAGCGGGCAACCGCACCGGGGUUGAGGACAGUCAUCAAGUGUAAAUGAGGUAGAAGAAUCGAGUUGGAAAGCUCAGCCGCAGAAGGUGAAAGCCCUGUAAUCGAAACCUUGCAUACACGGGACUGUAUCCAGAGUACCACGAGACACGUGAAACCUUGUGGGAAGCAGGGGGGACCACCCUCCAAGCCAAAAUACUGAUAUCGACCGAUAGCGCAUAGUACCGUGAGGGAAAGGUGAAAAGAACCCCUGGCGGGGAGUGAAAGAGAACCUGAAACCGUAUGUCUACAAACAGUCGAAGUCUGUAUAUAUAUCAGGACGACGGCGUGCCUAUUGAAGAAUGAACCGACGAGUUACUGUUGCUAGCGAGGUUAAGUGGAAAACAUGGAGCCGCAGCGAAAGCGAGUCUGAACAGGGCGUUCAGUUAGUGAUAGUAGACCCGAAACCGUAGUGAUCUAUCCAUGGCCAGGUUGAAGCACAGGUAAAAUUGUGUGGAGGACCGAACUCGUGAGCGUUGAAAAGCUUUGGGAUGAGUUGUGGAUAGGGGUGAAAUGCCAAUCGAACACGGAGAUAGCUGGUUCUCCCCGAAAUAGCUUUAGGGCUAGCCUCGAGGUUGAGAGUAUAGGCGGUAGAGCACUGAUCGGGCUAGGGGCCAUACCGGUUACCGAACCUAGUCAAACUACGAAUGGCUAUACUUAUACUCGGGAGUCAGACAGUGAAUGAUAAGGUCCAUUGUCAAGAGGGAAACAGCCCAGAACACCGACUAAGGUCCCCAAUGUCAUACUAAGUGGCGAAGGAUGUGGAAUUUCCAAAACAACCAGGAUGUUGGCUUAGAAGCAGCCACCAUUUAAAGAGUGCGUAAUAGCUCACUGGUCGAGAGACUCUGCGCCGAAAAUGUCCGGGGCUAAAGUAUGAAACCGAAGUCGUGUCAUAUGCAGCAAUGUAUAUGGGUAGGGGAGCGUUCUCAUCGGAUUGAAGCAGUACCGUAAGGAGUUGUGGACUGGUGAGAAGUGAGAAUGUCGGUAUGAGUAGCGAAAAGAAUGGUGAGAAUCCAUUCCACCGAAAGCCUAAGGGUUCCUGAGCAACGAUCGUCGUCUCAGGGUAAGUCGGGACCUAAGCCGAGGCGGAAAAGCGUAGGCGAUGGACAACAGGUUGAAAUUCCUGUACCGGUGUGAAUCGUUUGAUCGAAGGAGUGACACAGUAAGGUAGGUCAGCACGCGAUUGGAAGUGCGUGUUUAAGCAUGUAGGUUGAGUUAUAGGCAAAUCCGUAACUCUAAAAGCUGAGAUGUGAUGACGAGCUGUUUACAGCGAAGUGAUUGAUCCUACACUGUCGAGAAAAGCUUCUAGGUAGAGACACAUCGCCCGUACCAAAACCGACACAGGUAGGCGGGGAGAGAAUCCUAAGGUGCGCGGGAAAACCCUCGUUAAGGAACUCGGCAAAAUGCCUCCGUAACUUCGGGAAAAGGAGGACUCAUGUAGUGUGAAGGGCAGUAACGCGUGGAGCAUGAAUGAGUGGCACAAGAGAGGCGCAAGCGACUGUUUACCACAAACACAGGUGCCUGCUAAAGCGAAAGCUGAUGUAUAGGUGCUGACACCUGCCCGGUGCUGGAAGGUUAAGAGGAGGGGUUAGACUUCGGUCGAAGCUCUGAAUUGAAGCCCCAGUAAACGGCGGCCGUAACUAUAACGGUCCUAAGGUAGCGAAAUUCCUUGUCGGGUAAGUUCC